AAUGUAGCGGGUUGAAAAUGCUUUAGAAUAUUACACAGGAACACCGAUUGCGAAAAGCAAGCUUACUGGGCCAUUACUGACGCUGAUGCACGAAAGCGUGGGGAGCGAACAGGAUUAGAUACCCUGGUAGUCCACGCCGUAAACGAUGAUCACUCGCUGUUGGCGAUACACAGUCAGCGGCUAAGCAAAAGCAUUAAGUGAUCCACCUGGGGAGUACGGCCGCAAGGCUGAAACUCAAAGGAAUUGACGGGGGCCCGCACAAGCGGAGGAACAUGUGGUUUAAUUCGAUGAUACGCGAGGAACCUUACCUGGGCUUAAAUGUAGAGUGCAUGAGGUAGAAAUACUUCUUCCCUUCGGGGCUCUUUACAAGGUGCUGCAUGGUUGUCGUCAGCUCGUGCCGUGAGGUGUCGGGUUAAGUCCCAUAACGAGCGCAACCCUUAUCGUUUGUUGCCAGCGGGUAAUGCCGGGAACUCUAACGAAACUGCCGGUGUAAACCGUGAGGAAGGUGGGGAUGACGUCAAAUCAGCACGGCCCUUAUGUCCAGGGCUACACACGUGUUACAAUAACCGGUACAGAGGGCAGCUACCUGGAGACAGGAUGCGAAUCUCCAAAGCCGGUGUCAGUUCGGAUCGGAGUCUGCAGCUCGACUCCGUGAAGCUGGUUUGUAAAGUAAUGGCCCAUCAAUCAUAAUAGUAUGAAUAUGUGCCCGAAUUAAAUACACACCUCCGAUCAAGCCCUAGAGUUUUUACUUCUUCAAGUCGUUCCCCCUUAGGUACCCCUAGGGUCUAACCUUUGAUCGGGUCCUUCUUUUCCAACUUU
rnacentral:rRNA from 1 species